GCGGUCACUUCAGUAGCACAUAUACUAAAAUUAGAACAAUAAAGAGAAGAUUAGCAUGACCCCUGUGCAAGGAUGAUAUGCAAAUUCUUGAAGUAUUCCAUAUUUUA
rnacentral:snRNA from 1 species